AGUGAACGCUGGCGGCGUGCUUAACACAUGCAAGUCGAGCGAUAUUUGACAGCGUAUCGUCAAAUAUAGCGGCAGACGGGUGAGUAAUACUUGGGCAAUCUGCCCUUGAGUAGGGGACAACCUGCCGAAAGGCGGGCUAAUACCCCAUAAGACCACAGAGAUGCAUAUUCCAGAGGUCAAAGCUCCGCAAGGGGGCGCUUGAGGAGGAGCCCGAGUCCAUCAUGGUAGUUGGCGGGGUAACGGCCCACCAAGCCGUUGACGGGUAGCCGGCCUGAAAGGGCAAUCGGCCACACUGGCACUGAGACACGGGCCAGACUCCUACGGGAGGCAGCAGUGGGGAAUUUUGGACAAUGGGGCAACCCUGAUCCAGCGACGCCGCGUGAAGGAUGAAGGUCUUCGGGUUGUAAACCUCUUUCAGCAGGGACGAAGCGAAAGUGACGGUACCUGCAGAAGAAGCACCGGCCAACUACGUGCCAGCAGCCGCUGUAAU
rnacentral:rRNA from 1 species